rnacentral:tRNA from 1 species
UCCCUGUAGCUCAGAUGGUAAAGAAUCUGCCUGCAAAGCAGGAGACCCGGAUUCGAUCCCCGGGUUGGGAA